rnacentral:rRNA from 1 species
UACGAAGGGGGCUAGCGUUGCUCGGAAUCACUGGGCGUAAAGCGCACGUAGGCGGCUUUUUAAGUCAGGGGUGAAAUCCUGGAGCUCAACUCCAGAACUGCCUUUGAUACUGGGAAGCUUGAGUCCGGAAGAGGUGAGUGGAACUCCGAGUGUAGAGGUGAAAUUCGUAGAGAUCGGCAGGAACACCCAGGGGGAAACCAGUCGACUGGGCAUUACCUGACGCUGAGGUGCGAGAGCGUGGGGAGCGAACCGG